UUAUUGUACUUCCUCUUUCUUUCCAAGCAACGAGAGCACGAGGACGUAUUUAUUAUUAUAAGAAUAUAAUGUUUAUAUUUAGGAUUUCACACAAACAUGUGUCGCGUUUUACGUGGAGAAAUAGCAUUGCAUCGUGAGGGAAACAUGCGAUUCAAGCAGGUGUCUUAUGAUGUAAAUACCAAAAAUUCUCCCAAUGCUCUGAAGGAGUGAAAAGUAGUUGAGCAAUGAGCAAUGCAGCUCGUUUGGAAUGAGAAACCACAUUGAGAAAGCAUUCUUAUUCAAGGGGUGUCUUAUGAUGUAAAUACCAGAAACACUCCCAAUGCUCAGAAGAAGUAAUAAGUAGCUGAACAAGGAGCAAUGCAGCUCGUUUGGAAUGAGAAACCACAUUGAGAAAGCAUUCUUGUUCAAGGGGUGUCUUUUGAUGUAAACACCAAAAACACUCCCAAUGCUCAGAAGAAGUAAUAAGUAGCUGAACAAGGAGCAAUGCAGCUCGUUUGGAAUGAGAAACCACAUUGAGAAAGAAUUCUUAUUCAAGGGGCAUUUUAUGAUGUUAAUACCCUAUAUGAUGCUUGGGAGAAAUUAGCUGAACAAUUUGCUAACCAGCUUCUUGAAAAUAUGAAACCAGAUUGGUUUACUGCAUAUUCAAGUUGUAUCUUCAAAUGGAAAGCUCUCUGAUUAUGAAAAGACUAGCUGAACAAUGUGCAGCAAUUUUACAAUUUAAAGUACAUACAAGAAUGUCCUUGACAAUUUGC